CUGGCGGAGACUACCAUGCAAGUCGAACGGCAGCACAGAGGAGCUUGCUCCUUGGGUGGCGAGUGGCGGACGGGUGAGGAAUACAUCGGAAUCUGCCUAUUUGUGGGGGAUAACGUAGGGAAACUUACGCUAAUACCGCAUACGACCUACGGGUGAAAGCCGGGGACCUUCGGGCCUGGCGCAGAUAGAUGAGCCGAUGUCGGAUUAGCUAGUUGGCGGGGUAAAGGCCCACCAAGGCGACGAUCCGUAGCUGGUCUGAGAGGAUGAUCAGCCACACUGGAACUGAGACACGGUCCAGACUCCUACGGGAGGCAGCAGUGGGGAAUAUUGGACAAUGGGCGCAAGCCUGAUCCAGCCAUGCCGCGUGGGUGAAGAAGGCCUUCGGGUUGUAAAGCCCUUUUGUUGGGAAAGAAAAGCAGUCGGUUAAUACCCGAUUGUUCUGACGGUACCCAAAGAAUAAGCACCGGCUAACUUCGUGCCAGCAGCCGCGGUAAUACGAAGGGUGCAAGCGUUACUCGGAAUUACUGGGCGUAAAGCGUGCGUAGGUGGUUUGUUAAGUCUGAUGUGAAAGCCCUGGGCUCAACCUGGGAAUUGCAUUGGAUACUGGCAGGCUAGAGUGCGGUAGAGGGUAGUGGAAUUCCCGGUGUAGCAGUGAAAUGCGUAGAGAUCGGGAGGAACAUCCGUGGCGAAGGCGACUACCUGGACCAGCACUGACACUGAGGCACGAAAGCGUGGGGAGCAAACAGGAUUAGAUACCCUGAUAGUCCACGCCCUAAACGAUGCGAACUGUAUGUUGGGUUCAAUUAGGAACUCAGUAUCG
rnacentral:rRNA from 1 species